ACCCGGUUGCUGCUGCCCCUGCCCCUCCCUUUCCUCCUUAUCCCCCAUUACUAUUAUUUCCUCUUUUUUCAACCCCUCCCCCUUUUUACAAUCUCAUUCGUUUCUUGAUUUCUUUUUUUAGGGGGCCCCAUCUGCCUUUCGAGGGGCGCAGCAGGCGCGGCGGGCGCCCCUCACCCUGCGUCACGCACGCAUCUUCUGCAACCCAACAGCUCCGGGCCCCGCUGCACCCCACAGGCCCUUCCCCCUUGGAGAAGACCCUCCUCAGGAGCCCCUGGCCCGCUGCACCCCCUUUUCUUUCCCACUCCGUUCCCCCGGGCCUCAACUGCCCCCUCGCAGCCCCCCAGCUCGCGCCGCGGGCCCUACCCGACCUCCCCACCUUCUGCAUCUGGGCCUUGCAUUCGCUAGCCUCUUCCAGGCCCCUUCUGCUCAGAAUCCCCCUUCCUCCUCCAUAGUCCCACUUUGGGGCACCCAGAUUUAUCACUUUUUAGGAUCUUCCAGCAAAACUCCAAAUCUCUCCUCCCUUCCUUGACAUGCCCCUCCCCCUCCUUUAAGUAACUUCCUUUAGCGCAAAAAAAGAAAAAAAAUUAACCCAGUUUUUUUUUCAUCCGUUCAGGAUCACUUUCCAGCAAAAUUUUUUUCUUCACACCUAGAGUGCCCCUUUUUGGAAUAUCUUCGCUUAGAACAAACCAACUAAUUCCUUCCAGUUUCUCUCUCGUCUAAUAUUUAUGUUUCCAGUCCUCCUCACCUACCCCCAACUUUCCAGCAAAUAUCCUUAUUUUAUCACCAAUUCUGCCCUAAUUAAGUUUCUCCCGGUAAAAUUCUCUAGGUCUCUUCCCACGGGGGAAAAAUAAAGAAAGAAGGAACAAUUAUUUCUUCUUACCAAAAAAACCUUUCCUCCUCACUCAAAUCUCCGCUGUUGAUACUGCUUUCUGCCUUUUUCCAAAAAUUGUUGCUCUUCUCCAUUUUCACAUCUCUGUUCUUGUUUCUUUGGGACCCAAGUCCUGACUGCUUCUUCCUUCCCGCCACCUGCUUUCAGGGCAAAAGAAAUUGGGAGUAUCUUGCAUUUACCACUCAGUGUUCCAGGAGGACAUAUCCAGUGGUCUGCUUGUCACCUGAACCCCCUCCCUGUGGGGCCUAAACUGGGUCCUCCUGUUCCCUGGAGAUUCACUAACUUGCUCUUCUGGAAUUAGUUGCCAUCAAGGGCUCUCUCCUCCCUGUCUCCUUACAUGGUUCUGCUUAUCUGGAGAGUAGCUGUUGGCCAAGACCUGGCAG
rnacentral:lncRNA from 1 species